rnacentral:rRNA from 1 species
CAGUCGCCGCGGGAAUACGAAGGGGGCUAGCGUUGCUCGGAAUCACUGGGCGUAAAGGGUGCGUAGGCGGGUCUUUAAGUCAGAGGUGAAAUCCUGGAGCUCAACUCCAGAACUGCCUUUGAUACUGAAGAUCUUGAGUUCGGGAGAGGUGAGUGGAACUGCGAGUGUAGAGGUGAAAUCCGUAGAUAUUCGCAAGAACACCAGUGGCGAAGGCGGCCAUCUGGGACAACACUGACGCUGAGGCACGAAAGCGUGGGGAGCAAACAGGAUUAGAUACCCCAGUAGUCCCUGUCUCUUAUAA